GGCCAUGCCACCACGAGUCCCUCAGUGCCAGCCCUGCACACCACUCACUCCCUCCACAGACCCGUGGCUGGGUGUGGCAAGCACCACAGUGACUCAGAGAGGCCCCAGCUCUCAAAAAUGACAAGACCCUGCCCUCAAGGACCUCCAACAGUGAAAGGCAGACUGCCCCACGCAGCACCUCAUUUGGAUAUGUCUAGAAUCUUGGAAGCUUGACUACCCUUCGUUCUCCUACAAAUGGACCUUGAGAGCUUGUUUGGAGGGUCUAGCAGCCGAGCACAGCUACUCGGAUACCCAUGACGGAAGAACAAAGAAUGGCCCUCCUCUAUCUGGGAAGGCCAUCCUCUCACACUGAGCCGCAGCUUCUGGAGGGAUGCACAGGGAGCAGGGAAGGGAGGAGGGGGACACCCGCUGAGCCAGCCAGAUCAGCCAAAUCAACCCUGGCGACCCAUGGGUAGCAGAUUUCGUGGCCAGAUCACCUUCACAUCCACAGAGGUACCAUUUUUAUCCAGCACCUAGCACAGUGCCUAAGACAGAGAUGAGGCUCAGGAAAUGUAUAAAAGGAAAUGACAUACGAGGAAGCUGGGCCCAGGAAGGUGCAGUAACUCGCCUAAGGUCAUGCAGUUCACAGCCAGCAGAGUUGAGAUUGAAACGCCUCUGGCUUAACUACCACUUCACACUGCUUCUCAUCAAAGAAAAGACGCCAAGUUGUGGGCCCUGUGAGGGCAAAGCAGGCGAGGUGAGGGAAGGCUUCUUUCCUUGGCUUUGGUACAAGGGGGCUGGAGCCUGAAAAUGCAGGAGAGAACCCUAAAGCAGCCGUCCUGCAUGGCCAACCUUCCCCAGCCUAAGAAGAGUCAAGUAUGAGUCUCAGGUUCCCCUCAGAGUAGGGGGGAUGGUUUCAGAGUCGAAGUCCAGCCAUGAGGAGUAAUGGAGCUGUAUUUGCUGGAGGCUUUUCCAGACAUUUCCUUAUCAGCUUUUCUUCUGGAAGGAUCUUGGCAUUCAGCUAUAUUAUAGGUGCCCAGCCUGACAGAAACUCUGUUUACUCCAAGGGGUGGAGUGGACUUGGAGGGCUCCAGGUCUGUCCUCUUCUCCCUUGGCUCAGCGGGUUGGGAGAAGAUGGGAGACGAGACAGAGAGGGUGGGACUGUGCAGGAGAAAACCCAUAGCCUUUGCCUGGGAGAGUCGGAGAGGCGCAGAUCCUGUCUGACUGAUCCCAGACCCCGCCACUGCCCCUGUGACAUUUGAUAAAUGCUUCCUGUGAAACUGUUUACCCGGGAGGAAAUGGAUCAUGCUUCCCCUUCCUACCACGAGGGUGGGAAGAGGGGCUGCGCUGGUCCCAUAAAUUCCAGCAACUGUCGGUGCUCACCACCUCACCUCCCCAGGUGCCCCGAGGGGUGAGACAAAGGUGCUAGACACAGAAAGAGCUGUGACAAGAGGCAAGUACGCAGCCAGAAGGUCAUGUCUGUAGGAACACAUCCAUGUCCAUUUGUCACUGUUAUCUCCCAUUUUUUCCUCCAUUUCUUUUAAAUUAAGUUGCCAUCUGUCCUUUUUUUAUCUAGAAAGUCCUAAAGGAACCAUCUGGAGCUGGCUCCUUUUCAUUUUCCCCUGCUUGGGAGGUGAUGUGAUGGGCAUGUCUAGCAAACUGUCACAGUGGAUCUUAAAUCUUGGGAGCAGAGGUGUCCAUGGGCCUGGAAAAACCAUUUCCUUCCCCAACAAUCAGGGUCUCCUGGUUCCAGUAUCAGCUGUGCAGCUGUCUUCUCUAGAGAGGCCGUUGAAGGUAUUGAAAAGAGUGUGAUAUCAGGAGCCAGAGCAGCCAGUUCGGUCCUGGUGUCAUCACUUAUUCACUCUGUGACCUUGAGCAGGUCCCAUAACUUCUCUGAGCCUCAAUUCCCUCCCCUGGGAAAUAGAGACAAUGAUAUCAGCUGCAACGCAGUUUCCUGUGAGGGUCGAGUGAGGGAAUGCAUGUACAAAUGCAUGGAAAUAGUAAAAUAAUGCAGUUAUGGGUUUUUUUAAAGUCAAAUAAUUUGGCCGAGUUCUCCUUCUAACAGAGACAAUAAUCUAUGUUCUCGCUUUCCCAAACAUCAGGAGGACAGAAGAGGUAAGAUUUGCAAAAGUAUUCAAGAUCUCGGGUCAGUUUUUUAUUUCACCAACAUCCAAACAAUCAGAAAAUGAAAAAGACCCCAAAACUUGCUUCAAUUCUAACCGAUGACUACCUCGGCCAAUAAUAGUGCCCUGAGGCACAGCACCAAAGACUAAGUUAUUUUUUAAAUAUCAGAUUCUCAGUUUCUAAAAGUUCUUGAUACAUCUUUCUAGCUUAGCUUGAAUCUCCCUUUAACUAGAGCGCCCCAAUUCCCAGCAGAAGUUCUACACAGUACAACUCACAGAGCGCAUGUCUCAGAAGCAGCCCAGCAGCUUAUUGAAAAGCCCGGAUUCUUGUGAUGUACUGAAUCAGGAACUCUGGGAGACAGGGCCCAGAAACUGCAUUUUAACAGGCACUUUAGGGCGUUCUUCCGCGUGCUGAAGUUUGAGAACCACUAAUCUGGAAGCUCCACAAUGUACUGCAGAAGAGUCAUGGAAAACUUCUCUCUGUACGUCCUUCAGCAGCCAAACCCUGGACCCCUCAAAAGAGGAGACUCGAGUACACAGAAAUCUGUUGGAGCCCCAGUCCUGUGGCCCCAGCUUCCAAGGUCCCACAUCCAUAGAUUUAAUUGUGGAAAAGGCAGAUGGGAGAGGCCGGGUCCAGAGCCAAGUCUUGACCUGAGUUGAGACCACAGCAGACGUUAACACAAGGAAACACAGCUGAUGCAUGAGACUGAAGUAAGAAAUACGGCCUCUAUGCUCUGAAGGGAGGGAUGUGGGCUCAGGGGACAUCAGAGUCUAGGUUUCCAGGCAGCUUACCCAGGUCACAGGAGCAAUGUUAGCGGGAGGCAGAGGGAGAGACGAGCAAGUCAUUACAGAUUCUUGGGAUAUAAGAGUUCUAAUGUCUUGGAUAUUUCAUUAUCAUCAAUAUAUACUUUCCUCUGAGUUUCUAGGGACAAAUCUUGACUCUUGGAGACCUCAGAAGGAAUUGAUGCAUUCUCAAAUGCUGGCUGAACCUGGGUUGGUCUAUUCAGUUGACAGGAUCCUAUGACUCUUUCCACAUCGUAUUAGAGCACUCCCUGUGAAGUAAGGACAAGAAUCAUGCUAACAGGGGAGAAAAACUGCCAUGUGGAAAUCCUGCACUCAACAUGUGAGGGGAGGUGAAAGCCAAGAAAUAGAAAGAUGUCCUUUCUGUAUGUGGCGAUGCUAAGGAAAUGCUGUCUCUACAUUGUUUAUCCGGAUCCACAGAAAAUGACUUUUGCGGUCACACUUCAUUUUGUAGCAUUUUUUGCAAAUCAUUUGGAUUAAGGUAGCACACAACCAUGGUGUUGAACUAAGUGGAAUGUGUGGCUGGAUAUGGAAGUUUACUGACAACCCAACCAGAGUUGGGAAGCUUGAAAGCUCUGCUGUGGCUCCGGGAGCUGUCUGUGAACCCAGUGCUCCCUGCUCCCGCUUGUGCUUGGCUGGCAGACAGCUCUGCACCCAGGGCUGCAGUCCUGACUAAAGAGCUGAGUGAAGGGUUUCUCCUGCUCCAGACACUGGGCCCCUGGAACUGAGAAGAGGGGAGGAGGCCAGCGUGGAAGGGUGUGUCUGAUCUGAACAAUGGGCAAAUCAAGCAGGGAUCAGGAGCCUGAGAAAUAAUGCCCAGAGUUGCUCAUUACAUGGGAGACCUGCAACUGAGGUUAGGCUCCAUGGAGCACCGCCACCGAAGCCUGCCUCUCCCAAGGCAAGGCCACCACGCGGGCGUCAGACCUGAUGUUACUGUCUGAUCAUGGAGCAGAGGAGAACAGCACGGCCUCCUACACACCUGGGGAUGAGUGCCUGGCACAGGUGUGUCCUCAGAAAAGAUCAAGGAGAAAAUAAACGGAUCAAUUUAAUGUUUGUGUUUUCCUUCUUUCCUUCCUCCCUUUCUUCCUUCCUUUCCUUCCUUCCUUUCUUUCUUUUUUUGUCGUUUACUACAUUAGAGACCUAGAAAUGGAUCACAGCGGGGGGGUUGGUAAUGAAAGGAGGGGAAAGAAACAGAC
ensembl:lncRNA